GAGUGCGAUCAUACCAGCGUUAAUGAACCCGAUCCCAUCAUAACUCCGCAGUUAAGUGUGCUUGGGCUAGAGUAGUACUGGGAUGGGUGACCUCCCGGAAAGUCCUAGUGUUGCACCCU
rnacentral:rRNA from 1 species